rnacentral:rRNA from 1 species
CCUACGGGUGGCAGCAGUGAGGAAUAUUGGUCAAUGGACGAGAGUCUGAACCAGCCAAGUAGCGUGAAGGAUGACUGCCCUAUGGGUUGUACACUUCUUUUAUAAAGGAAUAAAACGAGGCACGUGUGCCUUUUUGCAUGUACUUUAUGAAUAAGGAUCGGCUAACUCGGUGCCAGCAGCCGCGGUAAUAAGGGGGAUCCGAGCGUUAUCCGGAUUUCUUGGGUUUAAAGGGAGCGUCGAUGGGUUGUUAAGUCAGUUGUGAAAGUUUGCGGCUCAACCGUAAAAUUGCAAUUGAUACUGGCAGUCUUGAGUACAGUUGAGGUAGGCGGAAUUCGUGGUGUAGCGGUGAAAUGCUUAGAUAGCACGAAGAACCCCGAUUGCGAAGGCAGCUUACUAAACUGUGACUGACAUUGAUGCUCGAAAGUGUGGGUAUCAAACAGGAUUAGAUACCCCUGUAGUC